GCGCCCGUAGCUCAGUUGGAUAGAGCGUCUGCCUUCUAAGCAGCUGCAAAUUCAAUCCAAGUCGUUGCUUCGGUUGCG
rnacentral:tRNA from 1 species